rnacentral:lncRNA from 1 species
UCUGCCUUCCCCUUGAGGACAACUCGGCCAAUGGGCUGCUGUCAAUCAGGGAGUGACACGUCCUAGGUGGAGGAUAAUUCUCCUUAAAAGGGAUGGGGUUUUGCCAUUUUCUCUCUUGCUCCUGGAGAAGUAAGCAAUAAAGCUUUUGCCACAGAAGAUUCCGGUUGUCCUGAGCGUAUUCUUUCCGGUGGGAACAAAAGCUCGGGCAAUACAGGGUCUCACUCCAUCAGGACAUGGAAAAACCAAAACCCUUUCAGGAGGAGAAAGUGGGUGUUGUGAGCCUGGGUGUGUACAAAGGAAGAGGUGAUUUUUUUUUCAAUAAAAAUAGUUCAGUGUGGACAGAACUGAUUUAAGAACUUGUAUGGCUGGAGGGAAGGCCUGGUAUGGAAGUCUCCAUGAGAUAUUUGCCCUUGUUUGCUAACAUUAUUAUUAUUUUUAUUUUGUCUAGGAUCUUCUAGCUUUAAACACACCCACCACUUGGAGGGAAGCAAAAAUUCCAAAGAACACAGUUUGGGAAACACUGACCAGUAAGAAAGUCUCCAGUUUUGUGCCAGGAGCCUGUGAAGAGUCCCUCAUCCUAGCUACCUGGAAGCCGGUAUUCUGCUAGCAUCCUUCAGAUGAAGAUGUAGAACACUCAGCUCCUCCUGCAUCAUGCCUGCCUGGAUGCUGCCAUGUUCCCGCCUUGAUGAUACUGGAUUGAACCUCUGAACCUGUAAGUCAGCCCCAAUUAAAUGAGUGUUGCGUUGGUCAUGGUGUCUGUUCACAGCAGUAAGACCCUAACUAAGACAGUAUUCUUUAUCCUGUCAGGCCCAUUCAGUUCAUGGCUUUCCACACAGUUCCAAAAUGGACCCUCCAAUUAUGGACCAGCUCUGGUUUCUGGCAUGUUCUCAGGUUUAGCUGCUUGGAACAGUUCUAUCAUUCAAUGUCUUCCCCUUUCCACCCUUCAGACAUCAGCUAUUAUUUAUAAGAAACCUUCCUCUUAAGUAUCUCAUGACCGCAGUCCUCUCUCUAAUCCCCACCUCCACCUUUCUCCUGGGGCUUUUUCACAACCCAGGCCAGUCUUGAGGUCAAACUUAGCUGUCCUCUCACUCUCAAGACUCCAGUCUGGUUGCCAUAGUGAUCUGUCCCUUAUGCAAACCUGGGCACAUCACUUGCAGAUCUAAUACCCCUCUACCUGUGGAAAUAUUUUCCCAGGACCCUCAGAACCAAGGGACCUCCCACCUCCAUGGGAGCUCAGGAGGGAUGGGGGGGAUGUGUGUCAGACCUCGAGGGUCUUUUACUGCAGGUUCUACUUGUAUGGUCUUACAGGGACAGAGGAGAGGUUUAAAAUGACCAAGGGUGCACCCUGUCCUACCUGCCCCUUGCUCCUGCACCCCUGAAGCAGGGCUCUCUGGUGGCCUUGAGUCAUGGAUGGGGUAUGGGAUAAACAUGAGACAGCUCCCUUCUUGUAGGAGCGAGGUUUGUUUGUCUUGGAACACUUCCUGCAAGAUUGGAAACAGGGAAGGACACAACAACUGCGCCCUCUUCAGGCCAAGAACAGUAGGUUCACUUGCACAGUGAGGCCUCCUGCCCUUGGUUCAGUUAGCACUUGGCUCAGAUAGUGAGCAGGCUCCCUCUCUUUUAAAACACAUCGCUGGCCUGGAGGUGGUGGCGCACGCCUUUAAUCCCAGCACUUGGGAGGCAGAGGCAGGCGAAUUUCUGAGUUCGAGGCCAGCCUGGUCUACACAGUGAGUUCUAGGACAGCCAGAGCUACACAGAGAAAUACUGCCUCGAAAAACGGAAAAACAACAACAACAACAAAAAGAAUACAGUUGAUAAUGCAAAACAAACAAAACCAAAAAACACAUCGCUGAAGAGUGACAUGCACUCUGUGAGUUUAUAGAACUUAAAUAUAUGGUUCAGUGGGGGCGGGGGGAAUACAUUCCUAAUCACCCGGAAGUUGCCUGAUGUCCCUGCCAAGUCCACAUCCACACUUUCCCAGCCAGAGGUGCCCAUGAGACGGACCAUGCCGAUUCUUCUUGAGAGUUAUGGAGCUGUGUAUAAACAGGGUCUCCAGGCCCAGAUCCGCUGUGUACAGGUUCUUUCUCAGCAUCGUGCCUGUGCAACUUCUUUGUAGUGACUGUGUGGAUUUUUAACUUGCUGGGAAAUACUCCAUUAUGUGUUAUAUACAAUGCAACCUGGUACCUUUUGUUUACCCAGCUUUCCGUUUGUACUUGGGCUUUUUUCUUCUUCUUCUCCUGUGUGGGGGCAAUUACAGAUAGGGCAUUUCCUCCACUCAGGGCUUCUGUUCCAUGCCUGGCAUUGUCCUAUUGUGUUCCGAUCCUGGCCGUCUGUCCUGCUUUCCUCCCUCUCUGGGCACCUAUUUGGCUGCUGGGACUUAGGGUGUUUGACCUGGACCUGUGAUGGUCCUAUGGGGUCUCACACUACCUUGGAAGGCCAAGCUGUGGCUCUUAAUCCCUUAGAGCUGUGGCUCUAAGCUGUGACAGUCUUAGUCUGGGGAGACUAAGACCUGCUUCAUGCGCUUGCUUCUCUAUUCUUGCUGAUGCUAACAUCUGUGGGCCACCUUUUAGCACUGGUUGCUCUUGCCUAACUCUUGUCUGCAUCCCUUGGCUGUCAGCCAUUGGGAGGCUGCUUGUAUGCCUCCAAUGAGCCUUCAAGGAUGCUUCUGGAACUGGGAUAUUUAUCAGAGACAGAUCAGGAAAGCCAGCACCAUUAGACAUGCAGCUCUGUGCUGCCUUGGGGACACAUUCUUGGCUGUCUUCCCAAAACGUUCGUGGUGUGGUACUGUCUGUCGGUAUUAACAAGCAUGGGUGUCCCUAAAUGUUUUUAUCUUUGUGUGUGUGUGUGUGUGUGUGCUUGGGUGCACACAUCUAGUAGUAUAUGCAUUCCUGCAUAUAAGUAUGCAUUUAUUUGACUUGUAUGUUAUCAUAAAAUAUUUUCUCUUAGCUAGGCAUGAUGGUGUGUGUGUAUAAUCUCGGAGUCCAGGAGGCUGGGGCAGGUAGGUAAAAGGCCAGCCUGGGCUACAGAACAAGACCGAGUCUCAAGAAAACAGCACAAAACAAUAAAUAUGAGAUUUCUCCUAAACAGUGUGGUUUUGUUUUAAAGGUAUCUUCUCCACUUCCUUCCUUGUCCCCUCAAAGAUCUUGACUAACAUCAAGGCAACACCUUCUUUGUAGAUGGAAGAGGUAAGAUCCAUGUUUAUUCUGCCCCUUCCCAUGGCAUAGCCACAGGCAACAGAUACCUUAGCUCCUGCCAUAGGCAGGGAACAUGGGCUUGAGCUAUGUUUGGAAGGGGCAGGAUCUGGGGGACCCCCACUUAAUGCUGUAGGUGAUAAAGUGCUUGGAAGAGAUGGUGAAUGUCUGUUGACCAUGCACGCAAAUCUGAGUUGUAACAUGUUACUUUUAGCUGUGUUGAUCUUGAGAAAACUACUCUCUGUGCUUCCGUGUCUCAAAGAAGUCAUCUCUGGUUGCAAGGGCCAAUAUGGCAGAUGCCAUUUACCUGUGGCCAGAGCGCUCAGAACAUGAGACCAGAUUUUAGUUUAAUUUUAAUUAACAUUUAAAUUCAAAUUGCUGUGACUAAUGGCUGUGAUAUAGAAUCCACCACUAGAGGACAGCACUGGGUGGCUUCAACCCACAUACAUACACAACCUUCCCCCCCCCCAGUGUAAUACAAUUUAGUGAAAAUAAAUAAAUGAAUAAAUAAUUAAAUAAACAAAUAAAACAAGCUCUGCCUGGUCUUUCUUUGUUUCCCACAUGUAUUUUCUCUUUCCUUUUGAACUACUGAUACCAAAGGCUAGGAGAGGCUGACCUUCUUAAUGGGGACACUGGAGGGCAGCAAUGGGUACUUUCAAAAUGCUCAAUCACAAGAGGUUUCCCGAGUCCCCUGGCAGUGCUUUGCUUGUGGCUGAUGGCCAGCAGCCUCAGGGGAAUGCCAGAAAGCUGUGUUUGCUGAGCUCUGUCCUCUCUUUCCUGUGCUGGGCAGCGGGGUGGGGAGGUCGUGGAAGUGGCGGGUUGGAUGUUUUACAAACAAGUUCAAGUUCUCUUGUCUGUUGGUCCCCAUAGCAGUUGGGCUGUCAGCUGCUCAAACCGUUUUGUUCUGUAACCGCGUUUGAAAACGAUGUGAGGAAGAAUAAACAACCGUGAAUGUGGAGUCAAGGAGACCUGAGGGUGAAGCCCAGCUUGGCUGCCUGCCUGCUGUGGACCUUGGACAAAUUGCAUGGCAAUUCUGGGUCCCUGGUCUCCUCUUCUGACACACCAUGACCUGGUGUAAUGUGGGACGCCCGACUUGCCUGCAAGUAAGACUCCACAACAGGAUCCUUCUGCAACACGUUUAUUGGGAGAGCAUGGACUGCGUAGGCGAAAGACCCCGAGCCCCAGAAAUGGCACUGCUUAUAUAGGCCUACGAGUGACGUGUCCAUACCUGAUUGCUUAUGCUACCAGUACCUCAUUAAUAUGCAUCGGGCCACGCAGUGACUCGGCAAAAAACUCUUUUUUUUUUCUUUUUUUUUCCCAUUUUUUAUUAGGUAUUUAGCUCAUUUACAUUUCCAAUGCUAUACCAAAAGUCCCCCAUA